CCUACGGGUGGCAGCAGUGGGGAAUAUUGGACAAUGGGCGAAAGCCUGAUCCAGCCAUGCCGCGUGUGUGAAGAAGGCCUUCGGGUUGUAAAGCACUUUCAGUGGGGAAGAAAGCCUUGGGGCUAAUACCCUCGAGGAAGGACAUCACCCACAGAAGAAGCACCGGCUAACUCCGUGCCAGCAGCCGCGGUAAUACGGAGGGUGCGAGCGUUAAUCGGAAUUACUGGGCGUAAAGCGCGCGUAGGCGGUCUGAUAAGCCGGUUGUGAAAGCCCCGGGCUCAACCUGGGAACGGCAUCCGGAACUGUCAGGCUAGAGUGCAGGAGAGGAAGGUAGAAUUCCCGGUGUAGCGGUGAAAUGCGUAGAGAUAGGGAGGAAUACCAGUGGCGAAGGCGGCCUUCUGGACUGACACUGACGCUGAGGUGCGAAAGCGUGGGUAGCAAACAGGAUUAGAUACCCCAGUAGUC
rnacentral:rRNA from 1 species